rnacentral:rRNA from 1 species
CGUAAAGCCCUGUCGGAGGGGAAGAUGCUUUUGCUGUCUAAUAGAUAGCAGAGGUGACGGUACCCUUAAAGGAAGCACCGGCUAACUCUGUGC